ACGCUGGCGGCGUGCCUAAUACAUGCAAGUCGAACGAACUCUGGUAUUGAUUGGUGCUUGCAUCAUGAUUUACAUUUGAGUGAGUGGCGAACUGGUGAGUAACACGUGGGAAACCUGCCCAGAAGCGGGGGAUAACACCUGGAAACAGAUGCUAAUACCGCAUAACAACUUGGACCGCAUGGUCCGAGUUUGAAAGAUGGCUUCGGCUAUCACUUUUGGAUGGUCCCGCGGCGUAUUAGCUAGAUGGUGGGGUAACGGCUCACCAUGGCAAUGAUACGUAGCCGACCUGAGAGGGUAAUCGGCCACAUUGGGACUGAGACACGGCCCAAACUCCUACGGGAGGCAGCAGUAGGGAAUCUUCCACAAUGGACGAAAGUCUGAUGGAGCAACGCCGCGUGAGUGAAGAAGGGUUUCGGCUCGUAAAACUCUGUUGUUAAAGAAGAACAUAUCUGAGAGUAACUGUUCAGGUAUUGACGGUAUUUAACCAGAAAGCCACGGCUAACUACGUGCCAGCAGCCGCGGUAAUACGUAGGUGGCAAGCGUUGUCCGGAUUUAUUGGGCGUAAAGCGAGCGCAGGCGGUUUUUUAAGUCUGAUGUGAAAGCCUUCGGCUCAACCGAAGAAGUGCAUCGGAAACUGGGAAACUUGAGUGCAGAAGAGGACAGUGGAACUCCAUGUGUAGCGGUGAAAUGCGUAGAUAUAUGGAAGAACACCAGUGGCGAAGGCGGCUGUCUGGUCUGUAACUGACGCUGAGGCUCGAAAGUAUGGGUAGCAAACAGGAUUAGAUACCCUGGUAGUCCAUACCGUAAACGAUGAAUGCUAAGUGUUGGAGGGUUUCCGCCCUUCAGUGCUGCAGCUAACGCAUUAAGCAUUCCGCCUGGGGAGUACGGCCGCAAGGCUGAAACUCAAAGGAAUUGACGGGGGCCCGCACAAGCGGUGGAGCAUGUGGUUUAAUUCGAAGCUACGCGAAGAACCUUACCAGGUCUUGACAUACUAUGCAAAUCUAAGAGAUUAGACGUUCCCUUCGGGGACAUGGAUACAGGUGGUGCAUGGUUGUCGUCAGCUCGUGUCGUGAGAUGUUGGGUUAAGUCCCGCAACGAGCGCAACCCUUAUUAUCAGUUGCCAGCAUUAAGUUGGGCACUCUGGUGAGACUGCCGGUGACAAACCGGAGGAAGGUGGGGAUGACGUCAAAUCAUCAUGCCCCUUAUGACCUGGGCUACACACGUGCUACAAUGGAUGGUACAACGAGUUGCGAACUCGCGAGAGUAAGCUAAUCUCUUAAAGCCAUUCUCAGUUCGGAUUGUAGGCUGCAACUCGCCUACAUGAAGUCGGAAUCGCUAGUAAUCGCGGAUCAGCAUGCCGCGGUGAAUACGUUCCCGGGCCUUGUACACACCGCCCGUCACACCAUGAGAGUUUGUAACACCCAAAGUCGGUGGGGUAACCUUUUAGGAACCAGCCGCCUAAGG
rnacentral:rRNA from 4 species